ACUCGCCCCAACACAGUCUCUUUUCUCGAUACCCUUCCCUUUGCUCAUUGUCUUCCCCAUUCCCUCUUCUACCAUCCAUGCUCUUCAAAAACAGUCCAAAUGACAAUCAACAAAGCGAUCCAGCUACAAGAUUCAGUGGUCUUUGACAGUCGUUUGCGAGACCGGGAAUCCGAGUCCCGUCACUGUGGAUUUCCACUGCAGGUUUCUGCUGAGAUCCAGGAGGCUUAUCUUUACUUUUGUGUUAGGAGGUAGUUGGAGAAAUUCGGGGGCGGAAUUUAUGCUCACGAUUGGCGCAGAAGCGCCCACCACUCAAAGCCCAGUUGUUACAUCCAGCUUGUACGCACUUCUCUGCUAUUUUGCUCGAAAGACCGGGGUGUGAUCAGAAGUGGAUGACCUUUGUUGUUGAGUAUCGGAUGUUGCUAUAAGCCAGGUACUAGAGAAGAUGCAUGAAAACAGAAAGAAUAUUGACGGGAAGGUCACCCAUCUAUCUAUAUAUAACGGGAGGCUGGCAGAUUGCAUUGGCAAUCUGCGAGAAAUCGAGUUGAUGUCCGCGGCUCUUGAGAGCUAGUCCACGCUGUGCUCUCUACAAUGAUGUGUUUUGUAGUGGACCGGCUAUGGGGUAAGUAGUUACACAGCAACGUGUCCACCCACCUUCCAUCCAGUGGGAGGACAAUACGACGAUCGCCGGCCCGUCCCGUCCUUCAAGGAAGGACUCCUCCGUACGCUAGUCCACAGCGGUACUAGCUUGAUCACUGAAGUGGUGGCGGAAAACAAUAUUGCUCGGAAUCUACUAGCGAAUGACCUUGAAUCAUUUUUCUGGGUGGUUUUUUCGGUAUGAUGGUCCCAGGAAAGGUUAGGUUCGGGUGUGAAACUACGUAAAUACAAAGAAGCUGGCUGAUGAGAAGGAAGGGUGACUAGUGACAAAGGAGACUUUCUCAGAACUUUUGAAGAUCGGAUACUUUCUAUUUGGUGAACUUACCUCCUAGCCAUCAACCUCAAGCCGCUACUGGAAACCCGGGCAAGUACUGUACAUAUCCAUUGCUGCAUUUCUGGUUCAAUGUCUGGUUCUGAUAAAUUGAUGCCAAUGCGCUCGGCCAAACACUCCAUACACUUCUUAUAUUUCCAGAUUUCAGCAAUGAGCUUGCAAUUCACUUCUCUCAAAUUUCCUCUUUCCUUUUCAUACUGACAAAUCAGCACUUCCUUCGUCGCUAAAAGUGCACAAUUCUGAGAUUCAAGGGGUUGAUACUCUCAUCUCGAGCGUCGUUGUAUGUUUUCCUUGGUCGAUUAUCUGUGCUAUCUUCGCGGC
rnacentral:sRNA from 1 species